rnacentral:snoRNA from 20 species
GCAGAUGAUGACGUUUAUCCCCGUCUGAGUUAUGAUGAGUAGCAAGCCGGCUGAUG